rnacentral:rRNA from 1 species
UUUACGGUAGCACAGAGGAGCUUGCUCCUUGGGUGACGAGUGGCGGACGGGUGAGUAAUGUCUGGGAAACUGCCCGAUGGAGGGGGAUAACUACUGGAAACGGUAGCUAAUACCGCAUAACGUCGCAAGACCAAAGAGGGGGACCUUCGGGCCUCUUGCCAUCGGAUGUGCCCAGAUGGGAUUAGCUAGUAGGUGGGGUAACGGCUCACCUAGGCGACGAUCCCUAGCUGGUCUGAGAGGAUGACCAGCCACACUGGAACUGAGACACGGUCCAGACUCCUACGGGAGGCAGCAGUGGGGAAUAUUGCACAAUGGGCGCAAGCCUGAUGCAGCCAUGCCGCGUGUAUGAAGAAGGCCUUCGGGUUGUAAAGUACUUUCAGCGAGGAGGAAGGUGUUGUGGUUAAUAACCGCAGCAAUUGACGUUACUCGCAGAAGAAGCACCGGCUAACUCCGUGCCAGCAGCCGCGGUAAUACGGAGGGUGCAAGCGUUAAUCGGAAUUACUGGGCGUAAAGCGCACGCAGGCGGUCUGUCAAGUCGGAUGUGAAAUCCCCGGGCUCAACCUGGGAACUGCAUCCGAAACUGGCAGGCUAGAGUCUUGUAGAGGGGGGUAGAAUUCCAGGUGUAGCGGUGAAAUGCGUAGAGAUCUGGAGGAAUACCGGUGGCGAAGGCGGCGCCCUGGACAAAGACUGACGCUCAGGUGCGAAAGCGUGUGGAGCAGACAGGAUUAGAUACCCUGGUAGUCCACGCCGUACACGAUGUCGACUUGGAGGUUGUGCCCUUGAGGCGUGGCUUCCGGAGCUAACGCGGUAAGUCGACCGCCUGGGGAGUACGGCCGCAGGGUUAAAACUUCAAUGAAUUGACGGGGGCCCGCAAAAGCGGU